rnacentral:rRNA from 1 species
UACGUAGGGUGCGAGCGUUAAUCGGAAUUACUGGGCGUAAAGCGUGCGCAGGCGGUUUUGUAAGCCAGAUGUGAAAUCCCCGGGCUUAACCUGGGAAUGGCAUUUGGGACUGCAAGGCUGGAGUGCGGCAGAGGAGACUGGAAUUCCUGGUGUAGCAGUGAAAUGCGCAGAUAUCAGGAAGAACACACGUGGCGAAAGCGGCUCUCUGGAACGGUACUGACGCUGAGGAGCGAAAGUGUGGGGAGCGAACAGG